rnacentral:Y_RNA from 1 species
GGCCGGUCUGAAGGUACUGAGCUAUCUCGAUUGUUCACAGUCAGUUACAGAUCAAACUCCUUGUUGUACUCUUUCCUCCUUUCUCGCUACUACACUUCACUAGUCUUAA